AGCUCCGGGAACGAUGCGCCUCCCCCCGGUGACGACUCAGAGCACCUCCCCACCCCCCUCAGAGUGUGUGUGUGUGUGUGUGUGUGUGUGUGUGUGUGUGUGUGUGUGUGUGUGUGUGUGUGUGUGUGUGUGUGUGUGUGUGUGUGUGUGUGCGUGUGUGUGUAUGUGUGUGUCCAUUCAGAGAUUGGAGCUGUGAUCGAUAUUGAUUAUCAGUGAUUAAAGGUGAUUGGAGCUGUGGAGGCUCUGGGAAAGGAAGGAUGCUGGUGGAGAGAUGUGGUUCUCUGAUUGGAAUCAAAGGAAGAGGAGGAUGAUGACCAGCUCGUGUCCAGGUCUGUGUGUGGGCAGAGCACUGGGACUCAGGAAGCCUCUACUUACCUGCAGGUUCACCACCGACUGGUCUGGGCUUGUUGGAGGAGCUGCAGGUUGCUCUGCUGGGAGGUCUGGGAGGUCUGGGAGGAGAGCCGAAGGGCCUGAUAAAGGAGACAUACCUCCAGACACACAUUAGCAGCCACAGGUCAGCUAGCCAGGUGGUCUGCUCCACCUCGUCCACUGAGCUGGAGGCAGCCUGAGGGUGAAGCCGUGCACGGAGGAAGCACGGCAGCAGAUGGUGGAGUAAUUAAUGCAGCUAUUUUAAUAGCCCCAUGAAGUUCAUGUCAGGAUGGUACCAGCUGUAAAAUGACUCCAAUAUUUCUAUAAAACAUUUCUUUCUGCUGAAGUCAUUCAUCUGACUUGUCUCCGCCAAGGAAUGGUGGAGUUUUGUGACCAUCGGCGUUGGUCUGUCUGUCUGUCUGUCUGUCUGUUACCAACAUUACUAUAAAACAGACCAACGGAUUUGGAUGAAAUUUUCAGUGAAGGUCAGAAAUGACUCAAGGACCAAGUGUUUAUAUUUUGGCAGUGAUGCGGCUUAUAGUCCAGAUCCACAGAUUUGUUAAAAAUUUCUGUAUCAUUGUCAGAUAGCGGCACAGCGUCACUGUAACCAUGACAACAAGCAAACGCUAGCUGCCUGCUGACGAUCACAUGAUUGUGAUCCUACUAUAAAUCCACCGCUGAGGACUUAUCAGGACUUAUCUGUCAGAAAUGAUACAAGGAACAACUGAUUAAAUUGUGGGGGUGUUUCUGAGUCCGAGACAAAAACCAACAAAAGUGACACACAACAUGACAAAAAAUUAGACAAAUGGCAUGAAACAAGACAAAAAGACACAAAAUUAUACAAGCAUGGUGCAAAACACAAAAAAGAUUACACAAAUAACACAAUUGGGACAAAAAUGACACAAAUGAGACAGAAAACCACAAAAGCACAACACAAAAUGACAACAAAAUUAAACAAAAAACACAAAACAAGACAAAAAAAUCCCAAAAACGACUGACACAAAACAACAAAAGCAAGACAGAAAAUGACCAAAAAAUUAGACAAAUGACACGAAACAAUCAAAAAAAAUUACAAAAACGAGACACAAAAUGACAAAAGUGAGACACAAAAUUAAAACGAGACACAAAACAACCAAAGCAAAACACAAAAUGGCAAAAAAUGAGACAACAUAAACAAGACAAAAAGAUCACAAAAAUGAUAAAAGCAAGACACAAAACAAUAAAAGCUAGACACAAAAUAACAAAAGCGAGAUACAAAACAACUAAAGCGAGACAGAAAAUGACAAAAAAAAUGAGACAAAAAAAGACAAAAAAGUCCAAUAAACUCAUAAAGAAAAAGCUGCAUUUCUGACACAUGGGGAAUGAGCAGCCUUGGAGGAGGACUUCGCUCUCUGAGGCUUUUCUAGUUAAGCUCUGUUCUGAUCGUUCCUCAGUGGACUAAGAGGACUCAGACCAGGCUGGUUCUUCAUGACUCCUGACUGGUCCUUGUUGUCAUGGUUACAGGUCAGCCUCCCGGGACUCCUACUCUGGACUGACUCAUGCUGGAUGAAGGUUUGGCGUCAUGGUGGGAGGAAGUGAAGGAGUGAGUAAAAGGAGAAACUAGCAGAUGCUGCUGCACAGUAAAUCCAGCCAUAAAGACGCUGCGGAGAGGACGCUCUGAGUGAGGUGAUGACUCCCGUCCUGCCCCGGGCCUCGCAUGGUUCCCAGAGAGCAGCAGAGGAAGAAGGGGGGAAUCUGUAAAGAAUGUGGUGGAUAUGAGCUGAAGUGAGCCUCAGUCUGGAUGAACUGUCCAUCUGAGUCAUCUGUUUCCAUGGCAGGAAGGAGUGUUCAUCCGUCUGCUCCUGACCUUAUUAUUAUAUUUUUAUUUGUCAGGCUGGGACAGGAAGGUAAACUGUAGUUGAGUCAUUUCAGAUCUGCUUUAUGGUCAGAAUAAAACAAUAAAUAUGAAGAUUCAGGGAGCAGAAAUCAAGUCAUCUGUCUGUCUGUCUGUCUGUCCUUCCGUCCGUCCAUCCGUCCAUCUAUCUAUCUAUCUAUCUAUCUAUCUAUCUAUCUAUCUGUCUGUCUGUCUGUCUGUCUGUCUGUCUGUCUGUCUGUCUGUCUGUCUGUCUGUCUGUCUGUCUGUCUGUCUGUCUAUCUAUCUAUCUAUCUAUCUAUCUAUCUAUCUAUCUAUCUAUCUAUCUAUCCAUCAUCCAUCCAUCCAUCCAUCCAUCCAUCCAUCCAUCCAUCCGUCCAUCCAUCCGUCUUCCCCGCUGCCAUCAACCUGAUAAACAGCUGAGUCAUUCCUCCACACCUGUACAGUAUAAAUAUACUGUUAAAUGUAAGAACUGGUAACGGAAACAUGAUGUAAUAUUUAUAACAAGUAACAUGAUGAUUUUUGCAUUUAUUUCAUGUCAAAAAUGCAGUUUGUAGUGGUGAAAAUGAUGUACUAACAAACACAUGCUUUAAUAUUUAUGACAGCUAGAACCGCAAUUUUUGCAUCAUUCUAUAAUAUUAAUUGCCAUAAAUGCACAUAUUAAAUGAUAAAUACACCAGCUGCUGUGCUGAUGA